GGGGGCGCUGCCUAAUACAUGCAGGUCGAACGAACUCUGGUAUUGAUUGGUGCUUGCAUCAUGAUUUACAUUUGAGUGAGUGGCGAACUGGUGAGUAACACGUGGGAAACCUGCCCAGAAGCGGGGGAUAACACCUGGAAACAGAUGCUAAUACCGCAUAACAACUUGGACCGCAUGGUCCGAGUUUGAAAGAUGGCUUCGGCUAUCACUUUUGGAUGGUCCCGCGGCGUAUUAGCUAGAUGGUGGGGUAACGGCUCACCAUGGCAAUGAUACGUAGCCGACCUGAGAGGGUAAUCGGCCACAUUGGGACUGAGACACGGCCCAAACUCCUACGGGAGGCAGCAGUAGGGAAUCUUCCACAAUGGACGAAAGUCUGAUGGAGCAACGCCGCGUGAGUGAAGAAGGGUUUCGGCUCGUAAAACUCUGUUGUUAAAGAAGAACAUAUCUGAGAGUAACUGUUCAGGUAUUGACGGUAUUUAACCAGAAAGCCACGGCUAACUACGUGCCAGCAGCCGCGGUAAUACGUAGGUGGCAAGCGUUGUCCGGAUUUAUUGGGCGUAAAGCGAGCGCAGGCGGUUUUUUAAGUCUGAUGUGAAAGCCUUCGGCUCAACCGAAGAAGUGCAUCGGAAACUGGGAAACUUGAGUGCAGAAGAGGACAGUGGAACUCCAUGUGUAGCGGUGAAAUGCGUAGAUAUAUGGAAGAACACCAGUGGCGAAGGCGGCUGUCUGGUCUGUAACUGACGCUGAGGCUCGAAAGUAUGGGUAGCAAACAGGAUUAGAUACCCUGGUAGUCCAUACCGUAAACGAUGAAUGCUAAGUGUUGGAGGGUUUCCGCCCUUCAGUGCUGCAGCUAACGCAUUAAGCAUUCCGCCUGGGGAGUACGGCCGCAAGGCUGAAACUCAAAGGAAUUGACGGGGGCCCGCACAAGCGGUGGAGCAUGUGGUUUAAUUCGAAGCUACGCGAAGAACCUUACCAGGUCUUGACAUACUAUGCAAAUCUAAGAGAUUAGACGUUCCCUUCGGGGACAUGGAUACAGGUGGUGCAUGGUUGUCGUCAGCUCGUGUCGUGAGAUGUUGGGUUAAGUCCCGCAACGAGCGCAACCCUUAUUAUCAGUUGCCAGCAUUAAGUUGGGCACUCUGGUGAGACUGCCGGUGACAAACCGGAGGAAGGUGGGGAUGACGUCAAAUCAUCAUGCCCCUUAUGACCUGGGCUACACACGUGCUACAAUGGAUGGUACAACGAGUUGCGAACUCGCGAGAGUAAGCUAAUCUCUUAAAGCCAUUCUCAGUUCGGAUUGUAGGCUGCAACUCGCCUACAUGAAGUCGGAAUCGCUAGUAAUCGCGGAUCAGCAUGCCGCGGUGAAUACGUUCCCGGGCCUUGUACACACCGCCCGUCACACCAUGAGAGUUUGUAACACCCAAAGUCGGUGGGGUAACCUCUUAGGAACCAGCCGCCUAAUU
rnacentral:rRNA from 2 species